GAAGAAGAGGAAGAAAAGGACGAAGAGUGGGAUGAAUAACUCUCUUUCUCUUUCUCUUUCAUCUGGCGUCUUGCUUUCCCUUUCUCUUUCUCCUUUCCCUUCAUCUUUGUGA
rnacentral:ribozyme from 1 species